UACAGAGGCCCCAAGCAUUAUCCGGAAUCACUGGGCGUAAAGGGUGUCGAGGCGGUUUUGUUAGUCGUUCGUGAAAUCUGGCCGCUUAACGGCCAGGCGCCAUCCCAUACGGCGCGUCUGGAGUGCUGCAGAGGUCGGUGGAAUUGCCGGUGUAGUGGUGAAAUGCGCAGAUAUCGGGAGGAACACCAGUAGCGAAGGCGGCACUCUGGGCCGGUACUGACGCUGAGGAGCGAAAGCGUGGGGAGCAAACAGG
rnacentral:rRNA from 1 species